rnacentral:lncRNA from 1 species
CUUUAAGCAGGUAAAUGUUAGAUUGCUGCAUCAGCUCCUGGACUCUGCAUAACUUCUGAUGUCCUUCUGGUAAACCUUGAUCCCUUAUUGCAUCAUGUGACCUCCUCUCCCCCAGCUCUAGCUCUGCCUAGCCGCCUACACACAGACAGGAUGCUUGGUGCUAUGACAGCCAUCUUGAAGCCAUGAAAUCAUAAAAACAAGGACAAAAAGUCAACUUACUGAGAAUGGUAGAGAGGAAGAAUAGAAAGACCCAAUUCCUAGUGACAGCAUUAAGUCACUACUUAUGUCCUGAACUCUGUAUCCAGAGUUCAGAUUUUGUAAAAACAAAGCAAAAAAGAAAACAGAAACAACCCUAUCUAUUUAUGUUAUUAUUAAUUUACUUUGUUAUUUGCUGCUGAAAGCGUUCCUAACUGGUAUAAAUAAGAAGGACUAAAGAACUUACCCUCGUCAGAGAUUUACUCUGUAAGUGAGCAUGGUUGUUGAAUAUGUGACCAGUCUAAGUAGUGAGGCAACACAGAGUGGAAGAAUAUCUGGAUUUUGUUAUUGGCUCCUGUACUUCUCAGCUGUGUACAAAGCAAACCUUGCUUUACAGGAACUUUGGCUCUCUAUUUACAAGGUCAGUGUCAACUCCUAGUGCCUUUUUUUAAUUUUUCUGGCAAAAGGGAAAUGGGCUAAGUUCUAGGAAUUUUCCUUUAUGUGAGUAUAUGAGGUUUUCUAAAACUUUCUAGGGAGUCAAAUGUUUUCCUUGCUAUUGGUUGCUUCUGAUAAAUUAGGUUUAAUCACAGUAUAUUCCUAGUAGUAGGUUUUUGAUUUUUGAAAUGGUGAUUUUUCUUUCUCUUUUGGGGAUGAAAAAGAAAAAUGAAAGCUUAAUGAUAUUUUCUUUCAAAGCAACCGUCUUCUUUUUCAAGAUAAACAAAAUAUUAUGCUAAAUUGAAACCAAUUUUAUGAAAUUAUAUUUUAAAAAAGGAUUUCAAAAAGCCAUAUCUAAGUCUUUUGAGGAAAAUGGAAACAUUAUAAGAAAAAUAACAAAGCAGCAUUUGUAGUAUUUUAGGUCUAGUAGACUUAGGUAAAAUUUAAUGCACGCUUUUCAACCUGGUUGGCUUUAAUAGUCCACAGAUAUCCUGGCUGAAUCCACCAAGGUUUUUAACAAUUUGAAUUUGCUACCAAUAGUUCCUUUUUUCUCAUCUCACCUUACACUGUCUCCAUGUCCUGAUGUGCUUCAACUCAGAAGCACUGGAACUCUCUUGAUACCAAAGUUGUGUUAUGGUGUGUGAUAAGGUUGAUGAUGGUGGGUGUUAUGGGUUGAAUUGCAUCCCCCAAAAAAGAUAUUGAAGUCCUACCCUCCAGGACCUGUGAUUGUCACCUUAUUUGGAAAUAAGUUCUUUAUAGAUGAUCAAGUUAAGAUGAGGUCAUUGGGGUGGGCCUUAAUCUAAUAUGACUGGGUUCAUAUAAGAUAGAAUAGAAACGGAAGGAAGAGAAGAUGGUGUGAAUACACAGGGAGAGCACCGUCAACAAGUGAAGGAACUCCUGAGGCUCCUGAUGCUAAGAGAGAGAGACAUGGAAGACAUUCUCCCUCACAGCCCCCAGAAAGAAUCAACUUCUCUCAUACUUUAAUUUUGGACUCCAAACUCUCAGAACAAUACAGUUCUGUUGUUUAAGCCACCCAAUUUGUGCUUUCUUACAGCAGUCCCUGGAAAGUAAUACAGUGGAGGAGGACCCCCAUGAUUACAUUCUGCGAGAGGAGUUCCUAAGCAUUGCAGCAUGAAAAACAGUGCUUAAAAGCUUAAGCAAUAUUUUUCAAAAUAUUGACCUAUCUCAGUAGGAACUGAGAUAGGCAACAAAUCUGACUGACAGAAUACAUUUCAAACUUUCAAAAUUGUGUCUUCCUCUUACUGUGGGUCCUUACCCCUGAACAAAGUUCAUCACACCUGGCUUCACGUUGCAGGGUAUAUUUUUUUGAUGCCUGCCUUAUCUGGCUUCCAGUCAUGCCCUGGAAUUUGAGUGUCUCUCAAAUGUAAAAAUCAAAAAGUAUAUUGUAAAAAUGUCUAUACUAUGCAAAGUAAUAUACAGAUUCAAUGCAAUUUCUAUCAAGAUUCCAAUGACAUUUUUCACAGAAAUAGAAAAAAAUCUAAAAUUUAUAUGAAAACAUCAAAGACAUCAAAUAGCCAAAACAAUCUUGAACAAAAAGAACAAAGCUGGAAGCAUUACACUAUUUGAUUUCAAAAUGUACUGCAAAGCUAUAGCAAUCAAAACAACAUGGUACUGGCACAAAAACAGAAAUAUGGACCAAUGAAAUUGAACAGAGAGCCCAGAAAUAAAUUCACCCAUUUACAGUUAACUGAUCUUCAACAAAAGUGCCAAGAUCAUACAACUGAGAAAGGACAGUCUCUUCAAUAAAUGGUGCUGGAAAAACUUGAUAUCCACAUGCAGAAGAAUGAAAUUGGACCCUUAUUUCAUCCCAUAUACAAAAAUCAACAUAAAAUGGAUUAAAGACUUAAAUGUAAGACCAGAAACUAUAAAACUAUUAGAAGAAAACCUAGAGACAUUGACAUUGGUCUUGGCAAAGAUUUUUUGGAUAUGACCCCAAAAGCACAGGCAGCAAAAGCAAAACUAGACAAAUGGAAUUACAUCAAACCAAAAAAAUAGCUUCACAGCAAAAGAAGCAAUCAACAGAGUGAAGAGAAAACCUAUGCAAUGGGAGAAAAUAUAUGUAAAUCAUACAUGAAAUAAGGAACUAAUAUCCAAAAUAUAUAAGAAAUUCAAACAUCUGAACAGCAAAAAAAAAAAAAAAAAGAAAAUUUAAAAAUGGGCAAAAGAUCUGAACAGACAUUUCUGCAAACAGAAUGUAUGAAAGGCCAACAGGUAUAUGAAGAGAUGCUCAACAUCACUAAUCAUUGGAGAAAUGCAAAUUAAAACCACAAUUAGAUAUCUAUCAUCUCACCUCUCUAAGAUAAGCAUUUGCAAAAAUGUGGAGAAAAGAGGACCCUUGCACGCAGUUGGUGGAAAUGUACAUUAGUAUAGCCUCAUGGAAAAUAGUAUGGAGGUUCCUCAAAAAAUUAAAAAUAGGACUACCAUAUGAUCCAGCAAUCUCACUUCUGAAUAUGUAUCCAAAGGAAAUGAAAUCAGUAUGGUAAAAAGAUAUCUGCAUUCCCAUAUUCAUUGCAACAUUACUUGCAAUAGCCAAGAUAGGGAAUCAACUGAUGAAUGAAUAAAGAAAAUGUGGUAUACAUAAUAUAAUGGAAUACCAUUUUGCCUUAAAAAGGAGGAAAUCGGGUCAUCUGCAACAAGCUAAGUGAAAAAAACCAGGCACAGAAGGACAAAUACUGUAUGAUCUCACUUACAUGUGGAAUUUAAAAAAGUUUAACUCAUAGAAGCAAAGGGUAGAAUAGUGGUUGCCAGGGACUGGGGCUAGGGGUGGGAGCAGGGAAUGGGGAGUUAUGGUCAAAGACUACAAAGUUUCAAAUAGACAGGAGGAAUAAGAUCUGGUGAACUAUAGUACAGCAUGUGACUAUAGUUAAUAAUAUUGUAUUGUACACUUGAAAGUUGCUAAGAGAGUAGAUUUAAAUGUUCUCAUCACCAAAAAUGAUAAAUAUAUGCAGAAGUGACAGAUAUAUUAAUUUGAUUUAAUUGUUCCACUGUGUAUACAUAUAUCAAAACAUCAUGUUAUACACCAUACAUAUAUACAAUUUUUCACCUUGCCAAUUAGAAAUAAAAAUUAUUCAUAUAAAAUAAAAAUAAAAAUAAAAAAUAAAAUUCAAAUUCAUAACCCAAAUUUCCCUAGACCUCUGCUUCCUCUGCAUAUAACAUGUUUGAGUCUCGCCUAAACUCAAAUUGGACCUCCACAGUCUUAGCAAAACUCUUUUAGAAAGUGCAAUAAUAUUUCUUAAUAAUCUGUCCCAGGUUAUCACUUUCCAUAAGAAUAUCCUUUUUUGAGUUCUCCUUGAAACCAUAGUUCAAAACAAAUGUGUUUGUUCUUGCAUUAUUUUUGGUAGAGAGAAGAACUAUGUGAUAAGAUAAACCUUAAGAUAAAUCCAUGUCUAUUGGGGAUAAAAGUUUUCAGUUAUUCUGCUCUUCACAAACUAACCCUAGUUCCUCUAAUCUUAAAGGUUUUAGCUUUCAACUUUUAGUUAUUUGAAUUUUGGGGGAAAGAUCUCACAUCAAUUUCUCCAUGUUAAGAUUUAAAUAACCAAACUGGAAGUUAAGUUUUUUUUUCUUUUUUGACAGAGUCUAGCUCUGUCGCCCAGGCUGGAGUGCAGUGGUGCGAUCUGGGCUCACUGCCAGCUCCGCCUCCCGGGUUCACGCCAUUCUCCUGCCUCAGCCUCCCCAGUAGCUGGGACUACAGGCGCCCACCACCACGUCCGGCUAAUUUUUUGUAUUUUUAGUAGAGACGGGGUUUCACCGUGUUAGCCAGGAUGGUCUCGAUCUCCCGACCUCAUAAUCCGCCUGCCUCGGCCUCCCAAAGUGCUGGGAUUACAAGCGUGAGCCACCGCGCCGUGCCUGGAAAUGAAUUUUUUACACACCAAGUGAAAAUAAGUGGUAUACAUUUUCACAGGAAAUUUUCCCACAAUAAAAUUUCUAGAUGGAAGUUCAAGUCCUUGUGCCUGAGCUCCUUAGAUUAAAAAGCAUAGCAGUUAUUUAACACUCUUUUAAAAAAGAAAGUAUGAAGACAUGGUGAAACUAUUUUGCUUAUCACAUUGACAUUCCUUUGAGAAGAAAGAAAGAAAAUGACAUGUGGUUGGGAAUUCUUCAGUUUAGCCCUAUAGAGAUUUUUAAAAAUGUUUUAACUUUCAAAGGCGCUUUUAUAGAGCUAUAAAAUUGCCUGUCUCCUCUCCAGGCUAUGCUGUACACAAAUGCAAUUCUAAUUUUUAUCGAAUGCUACUUUGAUCAUUCAGCUGCUUGAUCAAAAUCAAUAAUGACUUAUGGUGUUUCAGAUCAUGUCUAUACUUUUCAAGACCCUUAAUAAUCUGCCUCCAUCCUACCUAUCCUACAUUCUAUUUCACAUUUCCCUAUAAUAAUCUUUGUUAUUACCUUACUGCCUUUCUCUGUCCCUGUCAACUGCAACACAUAAGGGUUUGUAUAUAAAACAUGCACACACACACACACACAUACACACACACACACACAUUUCAUGCAUAUUCUGGCCUUGGGACUUUUACUUAUGCGUUUUUCCUUUUCUGAUGUCUACGUAUGUAUAGUUUUUCUCUUAGCAACAUCUAAACUUCUUUAAAAGUCACCACAAAUUCUACUUUCUUCCAAGAAGCUCCCCGAUGACCGUAACCUACAUUAUCCAUCCACUUUUUUUUUUUUUUUUUUGGUAGGGUCUUGCUCUGUUUCCCAGGCUAGAGUGCAGUGGUAUGAUCACAGCUCACUGCAGCCUUGGCCUCCUGGGCUCAAGCAAUCCUCCCACUUCAGCCUCCCAAGUAGCUGGAACCACAGGCUCAUGCCAACAUGCCCAGCUAAUUUUUAUUUAUUUAUUUUUUCAUUUAUUUUGUAGAGAUAAGAUCUUGCUGUGUUGCCCAGGCUGGUCUCAAGACUCCUGGCUCAAAUGAUCCUCCCACUUCGGCCUCCCAAAGUGCUGGGAUUAAAGGCAUGAGCCACCACUCCUAGGCCACUUUCUUAUUCCUGUUACUUAUUUAGGGUGACACUGUCCAAGACUUGCCUAAAUACCAUUUUAUAGUGUUUCUUUUUUAAUGAACAUAUAAACUGUGUUGUGAUCUUUUGUUUGUUUGUUUGUUUGUUUUUAUUAUUAUUAUUAUACUUUAAGUUUUAGGGUACAUGUGCACAAUGUGCAGGUUAGUUACAUAUGUAUACAUGUGCCAUGCUGGUGUGCUGCACCCAUUAACUCGUCAUUUAGCAUUAGGUAUAUCUCCUAAUGCUAACUCUCCCCCCUCCCCCCACCCCACAACAGGCCCCAGAGUGUGAUGUUCCCCUUCCUGUGUCCAUGUGUUCUCAUUGUUCAGUUCCCAUCUAUGAGUGAGAACAUGCGGUGUUUGGUUUUUUGUCCUUGCAAUAGUUUACUGAGAAUGAUGAUUUCCAGUUUCAUUCAUG